rnacentral:rRNA from 1 species
CAGUAGCCGCGGUAAUACGUAGGUGGCAAGCGUUGUCCGGAUUUAUUGGGCGUAAAGCGAGCGCAGGCGGUUUCUUAAGUCUGAUGUGAAAGCCCCCGGCUCAACCGGGGAGGGUCAUUGGAAACUGGGAAACUUGAGUGCAGAAGAGGAGAGUGGAAUUCCAUGUGUAGCGGUGAAAUGCGUAGAUAUAUGGAGGAACACCAGUGGCGAAGGCGGCUCUCUGGUCUGUAACUGACGCUGAGGCUCGAAAGCGUGGGGAGCAAACAGGAUUAGAUAUCCCGGUAGUCCCUGUCUCUUAUAC